GAUGAACGCUGGCGGCGUGCCUAAUACAUGCAAGUCGAGCGAACAGACGAGGAGCUUGCUCCUCUGACGUUAGCGGCGGACGGGUGAGUAACACGUGGAUAACCUACCUAUAAGACUGGGAUAACUUCGGGAAACCGGAGCUAAUACCGGAUAAUAUAUUGAACCGCAUGGUUCAAUAGUGAAAGACGGUUUUGCUGUCACUUAUAGAUGGAUCCGCGCCGCAUUAGCUAGUUGGUAAGGUAACGGCUUACCAAGGCGACGAUGCGUAGCCGACCUGAGAGGGUGAUCGGCCACACUGGAACUGAGACACGGUCCAGACUCCUACGGGAGGCAGCAGUAGGGAAUCGUCCGAAAUGGGCGAAAGCCUGACGGAGCAACGCCGCGUGAGUGAUGAAGGUCUUCGGAUCGUAAAACUCUGUUAUUAGGGAAGAACAAAUGUGUAAGUAACUAUGCACGUCUUGACGGUACCUAAUCAGAAAGCCACGGCUAACUACG
rnacentral:rRNA from 1 species